rnacentral:rRNA from 1 species
GACGAACGCUGGCGGCGUGCCUAAUACAUGCAAGUCGAGCGGACCACUUCGGUGGUCAGCGGCGGACGGGUGAGUAACACGUGGGCAACCUGCCUGUAAGACUGGGAUAACACCGGGAAACCGGUGCUAAUACCGGAUAAUCCUUCUCUUCUCAUGAAGAGAAGCUGAAAGACGGUUUCGGCUGUCACUUACAGAUGGGCCCGCGGCGCAUUAGCUAGUUGGUGAGGUAACGGCUCACCAAGGCAACGAUGCGUAGCCGAGCGGAGAGGGUGAUCGGCGACACGGGGACUGAGACACGGCCCAGACUCCUACGGGAGGCAGCAGUAGGGAAUCUUCCGCAAUGGACGAAAGUCUGACGGAGCAACGCCGCGUGAGCGAUGAAGGCCUUCGGGUCGUAAAGCUCUGUUGUCAGGGAAGAACAAGUACCGGAGUAACUGCCGGUACCUUGACGGUACCUGACCAGAAAGCCACGGCUAACUACGUGCCAGCAGCCGCGGUAA